UCGGACGGGAUUUUUCGCUGUAGCAAUACAGUGGAAAAUUCAGUGGCGAACGGGUGCGUAACACGUGGGCAAUUUGCCUUAAAGUGUGGGAUAGCUCGGCGAAAGCCGGAUUAAUACCGCAUGUGGCUACUGGAGACAUCUUCGGGACGCUAAAGGUGGCGCAAGCUACCGCUUUUUGAGGAGCCCGCGGCCUAUCAGCUUGUUGGUGAGGUAACGGCUCACCAAGGCGUUGACGGGUAGCUGGUCUGAGAGGACGACCAGCCACACUGGGACUGAGACACGGCCCAGACACCUACGGGUGGCAGCAGUCGAGAAUUUUUGACAAUGGGGGAAACCCUGAUCGAGCGACGCCGCGUGGAGGAUGAAGGUCUUGGGGUUGUAGACUCCUGUCAUUUGGGAACAAGGCGUACGUAUUAACUGUGCGUGCGUUGAUAGUACCAGAAGAGGAAGAGACGGCUAACUCUGUGCCAGCAGCCGCGGUAAUACAGAGGUCUCAAGCGUUGUUCGGAUUCAUUGGGCGUAAAGGGUGUGUAGGUGGCGCGCUAAGUCGGGUGUGAAAUUUCGGAGCUUAACUCCGAAACUGCAUUCGAUACUGGCGUGCUUGAGGACUGGAGAGGAGACUGGAAUUUACGGUGUAGCAGUGAAAUGCGUAGAUAUCGUAAGGAAGACCAGUGGCGAAGGCGGGUCUCUGGACAGUUCCUGACACUGAGACACGAAGGCCAGGGGAGCAAACGGGAUUAGAUACCCCGGUAGUCCUGGCAGUAAACGGUGCACGUUUGGUGUGGGAGGAUUCGACCCCUUCUGCGCCGGAGCUAACGCGUUA
rnacentral:rRNA from 1 species